UUUCAGUCAGUGAGGAAGGUGGGUAUGUUAAUAGCAUAUUCAUUUGACGUUUAGCUGCAGAAGAAGCACCGGCUAACUCCGUGCCAGCAGCCGCGGUAAUACGGAGGGUGCGAGCGUUAAUCGGAAUUACUGGGCGUAAAGCGCAUGCAGGUGGUUUGUUAAGUCAGAUGUGAAAGCCCGGGGCUCAACCUCGGAAUUGCAUUUGAAACUGGCAAACUAGAGUACUGUAGAGGGGGUAGAAUUUCAGGUGUAGCGGUGAAAAUGCGUAGAGAUCUGAAGGAAUACCGGUGGCGAAGGCGGCCCCCUGGACAGAUACUGACACUCAGAUGCGAAAGCGUGGGGAGCAAACAGGAUUAGAUACCCUGGUAG
rnacentral:rRNA from 1 species